AGUGAACGCUGGCGGUAGGCCUAACACAUGCAAGUCGAACGGCAGCACAGUAAGAGCUUGCUCUUACGGGUGGCGAGUGGCGGACGGGUGAGGAAUACAUCGGAAUCUACUUUUUCGUGGGGGAUAACGUAGGGAAACUUACGCUAAUACCGCAUACGACCUACGGGUGAAAGCAGGGGAUCUUCGGACCUUGCGCGAUUGAAUGAGCCGAUGUCGGAUUAGCUAGUUGGCGGGGUAAAGGCCCACCAAGGCGACGAUCCGUAGCUGGUCUGAGAGGAUGAUAAGCCACACUGGAACUGAGACACGGUCCAGACUCCUACGGGAGGCAGAAGUGGGGAAUAUUGGAAAAUGGGCGCAAGCCUGAUCCAGCCAUACCGCGUGGGUGAAGAAGGCCUUCGGGUUGUAAAGCCCUUUUGUUGGGAAAGAAAAGCAGCAGGUUAAUACCCCGCUGUUCUGACGGUACCAAAAGAAUAAGCACCGGCUAACUUCGU
rnacentral:rRNA from 1 species